rnacentral:rRNA from 1 species
CUCGUAGGUGGUUUGUCGCGUCGUCUGUGAAAUUCCGGGGCUUAACUCCGGGCGUGCAGGCGAUACGGGCAUAACUUGAGUACUGUAGGGGUAACUGGAAUUCCUGGUGUAGCGGUGAAAUGCGCAGAUAUCAGGAGGAACACCGAUGGCGAAGGCAGAUCUCUGGGCCGUAACUGACGCUGAGGAGCGAAAGCAUGGGGAGCGAACA